UACGAAGGGGGCUAGCGUUGUUCGGAAUUACUGGGCGUAAAGCGCACGUAGGCGGGCGAUUAAGUCAGGGGUGAAAUCCCGGAGCUCAACUCCGGAACUGCCUUUGAUACUGGUCGUCUAGAGAUCGGAAGAGGUGAGUGGAAUUCCCAGUGUAGAGGUGAAGUUCGUAGAUAUUGGGAAGAACACCAGUGGCGAAGGCGGCUCACUGGUCCGAUACUGACGCUGAGGUGCGAAAGCGUGGGGAGCAAACAGG
rnacentral:rRNA from 1 species